AAUAUCGACAAAUAUUAAGGUGGAACUGGAAGAAAUAUGUAGCGUCAUAAAAAACAAAAUAAGUGAAUUCUUGGAAAAAGAUAGUGGUUGGAUUUUAAUGGAAAUUUUGUUUUUGGAACUUAAUAUUAACAAAUUCAAUUCACUACGUGCAUCUACAUAUAUACCAUUACCGAAGGACAUAACGAAGCGGAAAACGGUUAUCAAUAUUCAAAAUGAUGAUAAUGAAUGUUUCAAAUGGUCUGUUUUGGCACACCUUCAUUCAACUGAAGUUUCCAAAAUAGACAGCACUAUCCACUCUACCUACCUGAGGUUCGACUCCCCAUGGAAGGAACAUCAACAACUUUUUUGCAUUAUAUUUUAAACAAAUAAUAAAAUAAACUUAGUGCGCAACAGACAAGUUAGGCAAACAACAUUACAAA